AUUGAACGCUGGCGGCAGGCCUAACACAUGCAAGUCGAACGGUAACAGGAAGCAGCUUGCUGCUUCGCUGACGAGUGGCGGACGGGUGAGUAAUGUCUGGGAAACUGCCUGAUGGAGGGGGAUAACUACUGGAAACGGUAGCUAAUACCGCAUAACGUCGCAAGACCAAAGAGGGGGACCUUCGGGCCUCUUGCCAUCGGAAGGGCCCAGAAGGGAUUAGCUAGUAGGUGGGGUAACGGCUCACCUAGGCGACGAUCCCUAGCUGGUCUGAGAGGAUGACCAGCCACACUGGAAAUGAGACACGGUCCAGACUCCUACGGGAGGCAGCAGUGGGGAAUAUUGCACAAUGGGCGCAAGCCUGAUGCAGCCAUGCCGCGUGUAUGAAGAAGGCCUUCGGGUUGUAAAGUACUUUCAGCGGGGAGGAAGGCGAUAAGGUUAAUAACCUUGUCGAUUGACGUUACCCGCAGAAGAAGCACCGGCUAACUCCGUGCCAGCCGCCGCAGUAA
rnacentral:rRNA from 1 species